rnacentral:rRNA from 1 species
UACGGGGGGGAGCAAGCGUUGUUCGGAUUUAUUGGGCGUAAAGGGCGCGUAGGCGGUGCGGUAAGUCACCUGUGAAACCUCUAGGCUUAACCUAGAGCCUGCAGGCGAAACUGCCGUGCUGGAGUGUGGGAGAGGUGCGUGGAAUUCCCGGUGUAGCGGUGAAAUGCGUAGAGAUGUGGAGGAACACCGAUGGCGAAGGCAGCCUUCUGGGCCAACACUGACGCUCAUGCACGAAAGCGUGGGGAGCAAACAGG